rnacentral:rRNA from 1 species
GGAAGUGGGGAUGACGUCAAGUCAGCAUGGCCUUUAUAUCCUGGGCUACACACACGCUACAAUGGGAAGGGACAAUAGGUUGCGAAGCCGCGAGGUGGAGCCAAUCCAGCAAAACUUCCCUCAGUUCAGAUUGCAGGCUGCAACUCGCCUGCAUGAAGUUGGAGUUGCUAGUAAACGCAGGUCAGCCAUACUGCGUUGAAUACGUUCCCGGGGCUU